AACCAGGAUUAGAUACCCUAUUAUAAAAAUUUAAAUUAAUUUACUAAAAAAUUAAUAGUUAUGUUCUUUAAAUUUAAAAAAUUUGGCGGUAUUUUAGUCUUAUUAGAGGAAUCUGUUUAUUAAUUGAUAAUCCACGAUUAAUUUUACUUAUUUUAAUUAAUUCAUAUAUCGCUGUCAUGAAUAUAUUUUAAAAAAUUUAUUUUCUUUAAUUAUUUUAAUAAUUUAUGUUAAGUCAAGAUGUGGUUUAUAAAUAAGAAUAUAAUGGAUUACAUUAAAUUUUAUUUUUGGAUUUUGAAUGAAAAUUAAAAUGAAAUUGGAUUUAAUAGUAAGUUUAAUUAUUUUAUAAU
rnacentral:rRNA from 1 species